rnacentral:lncRNA from 1 species
CCGGCGGCGGCGGCAGUGGUGGCAGACUAGCCGGGUGGCCGCGCCGCGUCCUCCUCGAGUGGGUGCGCAGGGCUGCGCUCUGAGAUCGGUCGCUGGUGGGGCACCCUCUGCGUCUCCCAAGUGCCCCUUGCUGGCAAUGGCCUUAGGUCGUGUGGGGAAGUGUCACCUCUGUCGUCAGUCCUUCCUCGUCGCCUUUUCUCAGCAGCGCUCUCCUCUGCCCUUUCUGGAGAUGCCGAGGGCUGAAGGGGGGCGCCUGGGGCCAGCGGAUCUUUCUCAUUGAAGUGACCAUGUGGUUCUGCUGUGAGUGCAGUCAUAACUCCUUAGAGUUGAAAGCCUCAGAGUCGGAAUAGGGCUGCCUCCCCAGGUGCAUGGCUUUCAGGGAAACGUGUAUCCACGGAAGUAGGAAAUGCGUGUUUAUGUUGCCUAACAUAAAACAUCCCACUUAAUAGCGUGAAUAUCUUAGGAACCACAGCUAAACCCAGCGACGCAAACAUUAAAGAAAAUGCCUCUCUGCUGGGUUGUAGGAUUACAUUUUAAAUACACAUACGUUUAAGACAAAAACUAUUUUGAAGAACAAGUGGGGCGGGGAGACAGAAGCCACGUUCUCUAAAGCUCUUGGGCAUUUAUGAUACUAUAAAUAGCAUAGUGGCCAAAUUUACAGGGUUUUUAAUUGUUUUGUUUUUCUAUAUGCUUUGAACUGCCUACGUGAAAUAAUGGAGCUGCCUCCUGGAAAGAGAUGCUCUUACCUCUAGCUAGGUAUUGCCCUCUGGGAUUUUAGCUAGCAUUUCCCACUUGAUGCUCCUUGCCCUAAUCACCAUUCAUCUUAUUACUCCAGUCAGUUUCUCUGGGCUCUCAAGAUAAUAGCACUUUCUCAAACACAGGCAGUCUUUCCAAGCGGUUAUCUCUUAAUGUGAAUUCUCUUUGUUAAAAAUGUCAACGUUGUUGGUGAGGUUUGGUAGGAUAUUUCUUUUUAAAACAGUGAAAAAGAUUUCGAUGGUGUGGACUUUGUAAGAUGGGGAAUUUGGAUGCUGUUAACAAUUUGUUGAAAGUGUAACACCUGAAACUUUGGAAGCUGGAGAAUAGAGGCAAUAAAGUGUUUUGAGGGAUAGAUUUUUCUGCGCUUUUAAAUAUAGUGGUGCUGUCUGAGUUUCUAAUUGGAAUUUCAGUGUAAUAUACUGAUUUUUUUUUCACUUUAGAUGCAGAGAAAGAAUAAAAUGGUGAUGUUGCUAUAGCUCUGUUCAGCCAAAUUUUGAAGUUAUAAAGUGGCAUGCUAAUAGGAUAUACGGUGGCAUCAUUGCUGUGUAUUAUAAUUUGUACGGGUUGGGUUAUUUUUCUACACAUAGUUUUUUUCUCUACACAAGUUAUUCAUUAAAAAUAUGUAUCCGUGAGUCAUUUGCAAGCUGUUUUAUAGGCUAGUUUUGUCUGUGGAAGUAAGUGAAUUUCACUGUGAAAAAGCAGUAAUUUUAUGUAAGAAGAUAUUCUUUAAAAAAAAAAGUAUGAUGUAGUUUUGUGUUUCUCAGUAUGAAAAAAUAGACAAGUGAACUAGUCUAUAAAAAGGAAUGUGUAUUUCUUCCCUCUUGGACAUCUUAUAGUAGAUUGCUGGUAUUCCCCCUUAAAAAACACCUGAAUGUUUAAAAAUGCACCUUGAAAUGUAUAAUGUAAAUCAAUAUGUCUCUUUUGUACAUACAUUGAAAAAUAUAAAACCUGAAACGGAGAAACUCAAACUUCAAGGUGAUAAGGAUUAUCAAACUGAGUUUGCUAUAAGUACAGUUCACAAUUUGAAACAAAACUUUUUGUGUUUCCUCAAGAGGUGAAAAAUUUUAAUGUCUCUAGCAUACAUUUAGAGUUAACAGCUUCAGAAAUCAAGCUAGCAUUUUUAGGAUGUCAGAAACUCCCAGUAAAAUUAGUGUUAAUUAAACAUAAACAAAAACUGUGCAAUCAUGUGCUUCUGAAAUUCUCUCCCCAAAGGAAACCAGUCCAGUCCACCUGGUAAAAUAAAAUUUGAAGAUAAUUAAUAUAAAAGAGAUGUUAAUUUGGCUUAGUAAAAGUCUGAAUGCUAGAAUUUUUAAUGAAGACAGGUAAUAUUGUUUGAUAGCACAAACUAUGUUUAUAUAUCUAAUUAUUCAUAUUAAUGAAAAAUUGUAACACAUGAUAAAUCUGUUAUAGAGUAUCAUAAACUUAAGCCUUUCAUAUAUAAUAGUUAAUUUUGGAAGUCCUUAAUUUUUUAUGAUGGUUUGGAGAAAAUAUGUUUUUGAACUGAGUUUUGCUUUUCAAAUGAAGUCGUGAAAAUUGGCAGCAGAAGAAAUUUUCUCCCAAAUAAAGUGGCCAUUUCAGAUUUAUAUUAUACAUUUUGAACUGACUGGUUUAUUACAUUUUUACUAGUUUUUUCUGUUAUUGCAUGAAAAGUAUUUUUCUGCUUUAGAAAACAGUCCAGUUGACUUCUGAUUGUCCGUAUUUUGAGGGCAUAUUUGAGUAAUUUAAGAAAUAAAUUAAGUGUCUUAGGUUUAAAAGCUCAUAUUUUAAGUUGGUGAAAUUUGGAAAAGUAUUUUUUUAAAAUUUGGAUGGCAAAUUUUUACUGUCUGAUUUAAUCCCUUGCUUGCUGGUUCCUGAGAGAAUUGCUUAAAUUUUCUAUAUGUAAGUAAUGGAAUUAUUUUAAAAAUCCAAAACCCUUUUCUGCUUUUCUUUCACUCAUUUAAAUAUGUUUUGAACAUUGUUUUGCUAUGCAAUGUAUUGAGCAAUAUAACUCCAUUUUAGUGACUGGUUUUAAUGGAGGCAAGGUUAUAAAUAACUCAAGUACAGGACAGUGUUUUUUUAUUUUGAUUUGAAUAUGGGUAUGACUGCUCUGAGAAUUCACUUCAAAUAAAAUCCUAAGGCUUUAUUGUAAGGACCUGACUCAGGUGGAUCUGGGAAUCUGUCCAGUUUCCACAUCCCAGUUCUUGCUUAUUAGUUGCCUGAUGUAACUCACUUCAUGUUGUGCUUAGACAGCUUUCUAAGUUUUCUCAGCAUCAAUUUAAACAGAAUUAUCCUUUCAAAAAGCCUCCCUGCUGAGAUGCAGAGUAGGAGUAAAUAGAAGAGUGUGAGUGAGAUGUUCACAAAGCAAGUAAUUAAACAAAAGUAGGCCAAACAGACUAUAGAGGGAGCUGCUUGACUUUGAGAUAACUGUAAGGAACUGUGCCAUUCCUCUGUCUGCCUCCAGCUUGUGAAAAUUUUAGUAGACUGUUGUAGAUGCUAUGCAAUCAGAUUUUUCAACAUAAAUUAAUAAUUCUGAAAUGCUAUAUAAAUGUAUGUAGUUGCUUAAUAACCUCACUUUUUUGAUAUCUUGGUGGUUUAUUAAAUAUGAGAUGAGUAUAAAUUUAAAAGCUAUAGCUUUUAUUAGUAACUCAGAUUGCAAAUGAUUUCCUCUAAUAAAAGUCUUUUUUGUUCAUAGCCUUUUUUGUGAAACCAUUUAAAAAUAUUUUAACAUCACAUAAUAUCUAUUUGGUGAAAACAUUAGAUUUUUCAGAAGCACUACUGAAAUUCAGUGCUUUAUCACGAACAAAAUCACUUAGCAGGUAAUCUGCAGCCCUGAAUUGCAGAUUUUAUUAGAUUUCUGUGUUAUGUUUGAUUUCAUAUAACCAUCACUAAGUCAGAAACUUGUUAAACAGGCGUCCUCUUAAAUCUGUGGACACGGUAGAAUCUUGUAAUAUGUGACUCAGUUCAUUCAGUGAACACUUAAUGAGAACCUUCUAUGUAUAUUGAGCUAUUUUUUAAGUGCCGUCGUUAUGAACAACUUUCACCCUCCUUAAGUGCACGUGGGAGAGAUGAUAGACAUGUAAACACUAGUCAAAUAUAGUUUAAUUGGAACAUAAAAAGAGAUUUGUAUAAGGCACAAUAAGGACUCAAAGGAGGACAUGUUCAGUGACCACCUUUUGACAUGUUCAGUCAAAAAGGGGAGUCAGGGAAGGCUUCAUGAAGGAAGUAUGGAUUAAGCCAUUUUAAAGGAAUUUUAAAAUUCUGAUAGAGGAACAGAUACAAGGUAAUUCGCAAAGAGAAAACUGCUUUUGGCCGGGCAGCUUGGCAAUGCAUACAAGAAUCCUUGAAAAGUUGUUUUUUUGACCCAAUAAGUCCAGUUUUAGGGAUAUUAAUCUAUGAAUGUAAGUCUUUUGGCAAAAUCUGAUUAUCUUUUGAAUCCAUCUACUUCUUUUCAUUAUCCAUCACUACCCUAGUCUAAACUACUAGCAUUUUUGGAUGUGUUUACAAUACCCUUCUGAUCUUGGCCUACCCCAAUCCACUCUGUUCCAUUCUAGUCUAUUUUCUACACCAUAAUCAGAGGGAUCUUUCAAACUGCAAAUCUGAUUAUAUCUCCCUACUCCUUGAUAUGCUUCAGUAGCUUUCCAUUGCACUUAGUAUAAAGACAAAGCUACAUGACUUAUGUGGUGGCAUCUACAUGUCUUACAAGGUCUUGCAUAGUCUGGCCCCUACUUUUCUAUCCAGUAAGGGCUUGAGCCAUGUCCUUCUUGCCUUGCUCUUUACGUUCCAGACAUUGACCUUAUUUCAGUCCCUUAUUCUUGCCAUGCUCCUCCCACAAUGAGGCCUUUGUACCUGCUGUUCCCUCUGCCUAGAAUGUUUUUCUUUUUCUUUCACCUAAACUCCAAUUUAUCUUUCCUCAGGGAAGCCUUCCCUACCAUAGACUCUCAAAACUCCAUAAACUCUCCUUCAUAACACUUGGUAUAGUUGUAAUUUUGUAUAUUUUGGAGAUUAAUGUCUGUUUUCCUCAAUAACCUCCAUAAGUGCUGGUAAUGGGUUCAUUUUUGCUCACCAUUAUAUAGUCAGUUCUUACUUAUCUUAGUGCUUAAAAUUAAAACUCAAGCAUUUUUUGGAGUUCCUGUUGUGGCUCAGCGGGUUACAAACCCAACUAGUAUCCAUAAGGAUGUGGGUUCGAUCCCUGGCCCCACUAAAUGGGUUAAGGAUCCAGCUUUGCUAUGAGCUGCAGUAUAGGUCACAGAUGUGGCUCAGAUCUGGUGUUGCUGUGGCUGUGGCAUAGGCCAGCAGCUGCAGCUCCAAUUUAACCCCUAACCUGGAAGCUUCCAUAUGUAGCAAGUGUGGCCCUAAAGAGCAAAAAGAAACUCAAGCGUUUUUUGUUGUUGUUUUUUUUUUCAGAAAUUAAUCAAUGGAUAAUAAUCAUCAUAGAGAUCAACCCCAAAUGUCCACUAAUUGGGAAAUGGUUACAUAAUUUGGUCAGUUAUCCAGUAGAAUUUAUGUCAUUAAAAUCAUGUUUUCAUGAUUAUAAUGUAAAUACAAAUAUAGUAUAAAAUAAGACAGGAAAUGUUGUCAGUAUAUUACAUGAAAAAAAUCAGUUUACAAAACAGUCACUUAUUAAAAAUGCAGAAAAAUACAACAAAAUAAAAAGGCUGCUUUUCUCUGGGAGGUGUGUUUUCUGUUUUUUAGAUUUUCUGCAGAGAACAUGUAUUGAUUUUAUAAUUUGGGAAAAGACCUGUUCAUGAAAUUAAGGAAAAACUAGCUUUCUGGAUAUGGUUCAGAAAACGGGGAAAAAAGGACUUGAGGUUGAUACUGGGCUCCAAGUAAGUAUCAACUGAAAUGUGUAACUUCAUGAUGAUAGUCUCAGACUCGAUUAUACAAAUUCAAUUUUGGAAGUUUAAAAUUAUUCUUAUAUUAUAGAAAGCCAGUAAAUUCCUGGUUUUAUUAUACUCGUUUAUGUGUAAACUGAUUUUAAUUUUAAAAUAUUUUGCAAAGUAGCAUGGAUUUGGCACUUGACAGUGAUGAAACAGAGCAAAGGCCAGAAAUUUUUCUGGACACAAAUAUUUCUGAGAACUUAGUGUGUGAUAAUGGGUGCUACCUGUCCUAUCAGUAGGGAAAAGAAGAAUUCUUUAAUAAACAGUAUCGAGAUAGCCACUGGGUCAUCUGGAAGAAUAAAAACUUGGCUUCCAGGUGAAUAAGAAGAUUGAAAUAUGAAAACAGGGAGUUCUUGUCACUCAGCAGGCUAAGAAUCAGACUAGUGUCCAUGAGGAUGAGGGUUUGAUCCUUGGACUUGCUCUGUGGGUUAAAGAGGGUCCAGCGUUGCUGCGGGCUGUGGUGUAGGUCACAGACACAGCUCCGCUCUGGCAUUGCUGUGGCUGUGGUGUAGGCCAGUUGGUGCAGCUCUGAUUAGAACCCUAACCUGGGAACUUCCAUAUGCUGCGAGUGGGGUCCUAAAAAAAAAAUAGUGAAAACAAACUAAACAGUUAGGAUAAUGAUUAUUAGUUUUAUAUAUUCUAGGAAUGAUGAAGUAUAGAACAUGGAUAUUAGUCAAAUUUGUUUCCACUGGGCCAUGAUGGGAACUCCCGUGAAGUAUAAAACAAAUGAAGCCAGAUUGCUGAAUUUUAUAAACUCUAUAGAGGGAAAAAAAAUCACAGAAUUAAAAGAGAAAUAGACUAGUACAACUUGUAUCCUUUUCACAAAGGACUAAUUUCCUCUUAAUGUACAAAGAGCUCCUAGAAAAUUAUCCAGUGGAAAAAAAAUGAGCAAAGAGAAUUUGUAUGAAAAGAUGUGCAAUUUUUAUUAUAUUGAAGAUAUAAAUUAAAGCUACAACAUACGAUUUAUCACCUAUCUAAUUAGGAAAGAUUGAUUACCUAGUAUAACUUGGGGAGGGUGAGAGAAAGAAAAAAUGGGUGUUCUCAUAUAUUGCUGGUGGGAAUAAAAAAUGUUCAUUUUCUGUGGAAAGCAGUUUGAAAAUGCAUGUAUAUUUUGAUGUAGCAACUUCAUUCAAGGAUUUUAUCCCCUUGAAGAUUAUAUAUAUGUGGUUAAAUAAGCAUGUAAAAAUAUUUGUGACAGCAUUGUUUGUCAUUGCAAAA